GGGAACGUNNCNGCNGUCGACGAUUCUACGGGAGGCAGCAGUAGGGAAUAUUGGUCAAUGGGCGGAAGCCUGAACCAGCCAUGCCGCGUGCAGGAUGACGGCCUUCUGGGUUGUAAACUGCUUUUAUACAGGAAGAAAAGGGUCAUGCGUGACACAUUGACGGUACUGUAUGAAUAAGCACCGGCUAACUCCGUGCCAGCAGCCGCGGUAAUACGGAGGGUGCAAGCGUUGUCCGGAUUUAUUGGGUUUAAAGGGUGCGUAGGCGGGUUAUUAAGUCAGUGGUGAAAGUUUACGGCUCAACCGUAAAAGUGCCAUUGAUACUGGUAGCCUUGAGUACAGUAGAGGUAGGCGGAAUUUAUGGUGUAGCGGUGAAAUGCAUAGAUACCAUAAAGAACACCGAUAGCGUAGGCAGCUUACUAUUCUGUAACUGACGCUGAGGCACGAAAGCGUGGGGAGCGAACAGGAUUAGAUACCCUGGUAGUCCACGCUGUAAACGAUGAAGACUCGCUGUUGGCGAUACACAGUCAGUGGCCAAGCGAAAGCGUUAAGUCUUCCACCUGGGGAGUACGAUCGCAAGAUUGAAACUCAAAUGAAUUGACGG
rnacentral:rRNA from 1 species